GUCUCUGGCCAGACCACCCUGAGUGCGCCCGAUCUCAUCUAAUCUCAGAAGCUAAGCAGGGUUGGGCCUGGUUAGUACUUGGAUGGGAGAAAAGAACUUGACCUU
rnacentral:rRNA from 1 species